AGCGGCAGCGGCAGCGGCGACGGCGGCGGCGGCGGCGGCGGCGGCGGCGACAGCUCUGGGGUUCGCGUCUCGGGGUGUGUCGGCCGCCGCUGCUGCUCAGGCCUGGAAUGUACAGAUGGCUGGCUAAGGUUCUCGGCACCAUUCUUCGCUUGUGUGAGCGGCCCGCGCCCGGGGCCCGCGCCCUACUCAAGAGGCGGCGCUCCAGCAGGUAAGGUGGCCGCGCGCCGGUCGGGUCCCCUCCCCCGCGCUGGCGUUGGGCGCCGCGGGCCUGUGGGAACCGGCGACUACGGGACCGCGGAGGCCUGGGGAGAGUCCGUCCCUCUAGCUGCGAGCGGAAGGGGAACGGGAGGCCGGCGAUGUGCUGCUCGCCGGAUACGGCUCCUGUCGCCCGGUGUCGUCGCGGGCGGACAGCGCAGGAGCGAGUCACUAGGUUAGGAGUUUGCCCGUAGUCGUUUGACUGCGAGUGCUGUUGUCUUCGCACCGAGGAACAGCAGUUGUCUUGUUCGACAGCAACUGUCGGGGUGUGUGUGUUGGGCUGCAGGGGAAGGGAAUGGUCCUGUUCUUUAACAUCCUUGUAAGAGGCAGAAAGUAUUUACGUACCGCACUCUUGUAAGAUUCGGUUAAAAUUAGAAGGAAAUGACAAAUAUUAGUACUUAGCAUCUACUCCUUUAUUUACUUUACAGUGUCUUCCCUUUUAAGGGUUUAUCUAGAAAACAAAAUAUUCUACAACUUCUAUACUCCCCCCUGUCUCCCACUCUUACAUUCUCCCUCCCUUUCCUUCCUCUGCUAUGUCUACUUCACUUAUUAUUAUGAUGAUGGUGAUUAUUUUUGUUUCCAGGUCAAGAGAAGUGGACAAAAGAUUGGAUUAGGGGAAGUAGAUCAAAAUGAUUCAUAGAUGACUCCAGGAAUGUAGGUCAUUGGUGAAACUGGUUGUUCGCUAAACUGUAGCAUGUAGUCCCAUGGCUUCUACAGUUCCAUGGGGUUCAGAUAAGAAUCGGUUAAGAUGUUAUAAAGUUCUCAAACUGAUGCUUAUGUAAGAAUAGUUUAUUCUCCCCCAACUGGAUCUGGUGCACAAUGAAACUGCAUAUUUAUCGAACAGGGACUGGUGAUCGCCUCACAUUUUCAUUCAUAGUCCCUCGGAGUCAGCAGUAUGCCGACCCAAACCUGAGUGUGGAUGUGUCCUGGCCAGCCUUGACUUCUAGCUGCUUUCUGUUCUUUACUACAUUCGGGGGCUCGUGGGUUAUUUUGUUUUGUUUUGUUCUUUUGUUUUUUGAGACAGGGUUUCUCUGUGCAGCCCUGGCUGUCCUGGAACUCACUCUGUAGACCAGGCUGGCCUCGAACUCAGAAAUCGGCCUGCCUCUGCCUCCCGAGUGCUGGGAUUAAAGGUGUGUGCCACCAUGCCCGGCUCGGGGGCUGGUGUCUUAAAAGAUACUUUUUUCUAGGAACUAGAGCUGUGCCUUAGGGGCGGUGUGCUUGUCUGUCGUGCCUGUCCUGUCUUCAAUCCCCAGCCCAGGGUAUAGGGGUCGGGAGACAUUUAAGCAACACCAUUGCCAACUCCCAACUACUACCUUAUCUCUUAAGGCUGCUUAUAUUGUUGCUUGAAAU
rnacentral:lncRNA from 1 species